UCCUGUCCUUUUUCGUCCUUCCUACUGUCAUCUGUCCUCCUGUCCUCUGACCUCAGUCCUCCUGUCAUCUGUCCUCCUGUCCUCCUGUCCUCUGUCCUCCUCCCUCUGCUACAGUAACAUUAGGGCUGAUAGAGGGAAGAGGGGCUGUUUGG